UACGUAGGGUGCUAGCGUUGUUCGGAAUCAUUGGGCGUAAAGCGCGUGCAGGCUGUUAGAUAAGUCAGAUGUGAAAAUCCCUGGGCUCAACCGAGGAAGUGCAUUUGAAACUAUCUAGCUAGAAGAUGGUAGAGGAAGGUGGAAUUCCAAGUGUAGAGGUGAAAUUCGUAGAUAUUUGGAGGAAUACCGGUGGCGAAGGCGGCCUUCUGGGCCAUUCUUGACGCUGAGACGCGAAAGCGUGGGUAGCAAACAGG
rnacentral:rRNA from 1 species